rnacentral:rRNA from 1 species
CCCUUAGAUGUCCUGGGCCGCACGCGCGCUACACUGACGGAGCCAGCGAGCUUACCCCUUUGCCGAAAGGCAUGGGAAAUCUUUUGAAUCUCCGUCGUGCUGGGGAUAGAUCAUUGCAAUUAUUGAUCUUGAACGAGGAAUUCCUAGUAAGCGCAAGUCAUCAACUUGCGUUGAUUACGUCCCUGCCCUUUGUACACACCGCCCGUCGCUCCUACCGAUUGAAUGCUCAGGUGAGCCAUUCGGACUUUCAUCAUGCUGGUUUCCAGUUUUGAUGAAGGAAAGUCUUGCGAACCUUAUCAUUUAGAGGAAGGAGAAGUCGUAACA